GCAGCCUAUGAAGUACAGAAUAGAACUGGCUGAAUGAAAAGUAUUUACGAUGGGAAGAAAUGCCUAAUGUCUGUCUUUGGGGCACAAAAUAGUUAACUUGUAACAGUAACAGUUUAUCUUAUGGCCUACAUAAGGCACAAUGCAUUGUCUUGCAUUUGAUAUAGAAUGAAAGACCAAAUUAUCAGCCUUCAAAAUAUGGCACAGAGGAUACAGAAUUCAAAACAAGAUGGACAUGUAGUACCUAACCAAAGCUUAUCAAAUUCUCCAGCAAAAAUCAUGUAGAAAUAUUACUGGGAAGAGAAAUAAGUUAGCUAGAGGUCAGGUUUGAAACUGGAUAUUAAAUCAGACGAAUGUUUCUGGCCUGAAAGAGGUUCAGGAACACUUUCAAAAUUGAGGAGUAAAAGAUACAUAUUUUAGGAGUAAAAAUGUAUUUUGCCACAAUUAAAAAAAAUUUUUAAAAAGACCAUUGUGAUAUAUGUGGCUGAAAAAGAUGAAGUCUGUGAAUUGCUAAACAACAAAAUUACAAGAGUAGACAUACUCAGUGACUUUUUACCAGGGAAAUGCUGUCACUGGGCUAGGUUCUCUGGAGUUGUACCUGAACAAUUCCAAAGAACUUCCUAAAGGUUGACAUAGAUAGUAUGCAUAUUUAUACAUAUAUGUGUGUGUAUAUAUAUAUAUAUAUAUAUAUAUGCAAGAAAAUUUUUAGUCAAAAUCAAUAAUUUCAUUUUAAUUUAUUCAGCUCUUAGACGUGUGUAUUUAAACCUGAGUGUAGUCAAUUAGAAAAAUAAAGUUUUUUCUGAUUAUUUCUAAUUUGUAAAAAUUUAAGGAGUACAAGUAUAUUUUGUUACAUGGCUAUAGUGUGUAGUGGUGAAGUCAGGACUUCUAGUGUACUACCCAUUAUUGGAAUACUGCACAUUGUGCAUUAUGUAAUUUCUCAUCCCUGCCCCUCUGUACCCCCAGCAUGCUUCUGAGUUCCAGCAUCUAUCACUCCACACUACACCUCCAUAUGUACACAUUAUUUAGCUCCCACAUAUCAGUGAGAUCACAUGGUUUUUGCUUUUGUGUCCGAGUUGUUUCUCUUAAGAUAAUGGCCUCCAGUUCUGUCGUGUUGCUGUAAAAGACAGGAUUUCAUUCUUUUUUAUGGCUGGAUAGUAUUUCUUUGUGCAUAGAGACCACAUUUUCUUGAUCCAGUCAUCCAUCAAUGGACACUUCCGUUGAAUCCACAUCUUUGCUAUUGUAAAUAGUGCUGCAGGAAACAUAGGAGUGGGGCUAUUGUUUUGAUUUAAUGAUUUCUGUUCCUUUGUUUAGACUGCUGGAUCAAAGAGUAGUUCUAUUUUUACUUUUUUGAGAAAUCUUAAUUCUGUUUUCCAUGGAGGUUGUGUUAAUUUACAUACCCACCAACAGUGUAUAAGCAUGUCUUUAACCCACUUUUUUUUCUUCCAACUUUUAGGUUCAAGGGGCAUGCAGGAUUGUAAUAUGGGUAAAUUGCAUGUCACGGAGGUUUGGUGUACGGAUUUUUUUUGUCACACACGUAAUAAGCAUACUUUCUCCAGUGUAUGUUCUUAUCAGUUUUGUCAAAGAUCAGUUAGCUGUAUGUGGGUUUAUUUCUAGGCUCUCUAUUCUGUUCCACUGAUUGUGUCUCAUUUUAUACUAGUACCAUUGAUGCUUUGGUUACUAUGGUCUUAUGGUAUAAUUUGAAGUCAGAUGAUGUAGUUCUGCCAGCUUUGUUCUUUUUGCUUAGGAUUGCUUUGGCUAUUUGGGCUUUUGUGUUGCAUAUGAAUUUUAGGAUUGUUCUAAUUCUGUGAAAAAUGAAAUUGGUAUUUUGAUAGGGGUUGUAUUGAAUCUGUAGAUUCCUUUGGGCACUAUGGUCGUUUUAACAGUACUAAUACUUCCAGUCCAUGAGCAUAUAAUGUCUUUACCUUUGUGCGUGUGAUCUAUGGUUUCUUUCAUCAGUGUUUUGUAGUUUUCCUUACAGAGAUCUUUUACCUCCUUGGUUAAAUACAUUCCUAGGUCCUUUUUUCUUUUUUUGUAUCUUUUAUAAAUGGAAUUACCUUCUUGGUUUGGUUCUCAGCUAUAUCAUUGUUAGUGUGUAGAAAUGCUACUGAUUUCUAUACCUUGAUUUUGUAUCCUGAAACUCUGCUAAAUUCAUUUAUCCAAUCUAAGAUUUUUUUUGGUGGAGUCCUUAGGGUUUUCUAGAUUAAGAUCACAGAUAAUUUGACUUCCUCUUUUCCUGUUUGAAAGACUUGUAUUUAUUUCUCUUGCCUGACUGCUGUGGUUAGGACUUCCAGUACUGUGUUGAAUAGAAGUGAAGAAAGUGGGCAUCCUUGUCUUACUUAAAUUCUUAGAGGGAAUGCCUUCAGCUUUCACCCCAUUCAGUAUGAUGUUGGCUGUGGGUUUGUCAUAGAUGGCAUUUAUUAUUUUGAGUUAUGUUCCUUCUAUGCCUAGUUGAUGAAGGAUUUUGUUAUGAAGGAAUACUGAAUUUUAUCACAUUGCUUUUCUACAUCUAUUGAGACGAUUAUAUUAUUUUUGUCCUUAAUUCUGUUUAUGUGAUGUAUCAUAUGUAUUGAGUUGCAUAUACUGAACUAUUCAUUCAUCCCUGGCAUAAAACCCCCUUGAUCAUGGUGUAUUAUCUUUCUGAUGUGCUGCUGGACUCAAUUUGCUAGUAUUUUGCUGAAGAUUUUUGUUUCUAUGGUCUGUGUUCAUCAGGAAUAUCCAUCUAUUGUUUUCUUUUUUGUGUUGUGUCCGUGUCUGGUUUUGAUAUCAAUGUUAUACCGGCCUUACAGAAUGAGUUAGGGAGAAUUCCCUCCUCCUCAAUGUUUUGUAACAGUUUCAGGAGUAUUUGUAUUAGUUCUUCUUGGUAUGCUUGGUAGAAUUUGGCUGUUACUACAUUUUCUCUUGGGCUUUUUUGUUGUUGUUAGGACAUUUUUUAUUAUUAUGGAUUCAUUCUUGCUAUUUACAUUAUUGGUUUGUUCAGGAUUUUUGUUUCUUCCUGGUUCAACCUGGGAGGUUGUAUUAUGUUUCCAGAAAUUUAUCUGUUUCCAGGAAUCCAUUUCCUCUAGGUUUUCUAAUUUAUAAGGUAGUAUAGUCUCUGAUGACCUUUCCUAUUUCUGUAGUUCAGUUGUAAUGUCUCAUUUAUUUCUGAUUUGGUUUGUUUAGAUCUCUGUUCUUGACUAGCUAGUAUAUCAAUUUUGUCUUUCAAAGAACAAUUUCCUUGAUCAUUUGUAAAUGUUUUUGCCUCCAUUUAUUUUGUUUUGCUCUGAUCUCCUACUGUUUUUGUUCUGCUAACUUUGGUUUUUUUUUUUUUUUUCUUAAUUCCUUGAGGUGCAGUGUUAGAUUGUUAAUUGAUGAUCAUUCUACAUUUUUUAUAUAGGUAUUUAAUGGUAUAAACUUCCUUUUUAGCAGUGCUUUUGCUCUAUUCCACAGGUUUUGGUAUGUAGAAUUUGGCUGUUACUGUAUCUUAUCCUUAUCAUUCAUUUCAAAAUUUUUUUAAAUUUCCAUCCUGAUUUUUGCUGACCCAGUGAUCAUUUAGGAGCAUAUCAUUUGAUUUCCAUGUUUCUAAGGUGCCCAGAGUUUCUCUGGGCAUUGAUUCCCAGUUUUUUACUGGACUGUGGUGUGAGAAGAUUUUUAUUUAUUUAUUUUUUCAAGACUUGUUUUCUGGCCUAAUAUAUGGUUUAUCUGGGAGAAUUUUCCAUGUGCUUAUGAAAAGAAUAUAUAUUAUGCAGUCGUUGGGUAGAGUGUUCUGUAAAUGUCUGUUACAUGUCCAUUUGGUCUAAAGUCCGAUUUAAGUCCAAUGUUUGCUUGUUGACUUACUGUCUUGAUAAUCUGCCUAGUGCUGUCAGUGGGGUGUUUACCUACCAUUAUUGUAUUGCUGUCUAAUUCUUUCUUUCAGUCUAGUAAUAAUUGUUUUAUGAAUCUAGGUGCUGCAGUGUCGUGUGCAUAUAUAUCCUUUAUCGCUAUAUAAUAACCUUCUUUGUCUUUUACUGUUUUGACUUAAUAUCUGUUUUAUCUGAUAUAAGUAACACUACUCCUGUUUGCUUUUGGUUUCUGUGGAAUACCUUUUCCACCCUUUUCAGUAUAUGGGUGUCUUUACAGAUAAGGUGAGUUUCAUAUAAGCAGCAUAUAGUUGAAUCACAUUUUUAAUACUUUCCACUGUCUAUGUUUUACUUGGGUCAUUUGAUCCACUUACAUUCAAAACUAAUAUUGAUAUAUAUGGUUUUGUUCCUGUCAUAUUUUCAAUUAUUACCUAGUUGGUUUAUACAUUUUUUUUUCUCUGUGUGGUUGUCUGUGUUUUGGUGGAAUUCUUUUGUGUUGCCAGUGAUUCCUUUCCUUCCUUCUUUGUGUGUUUGCUUUAUAAGACCUUUGAGUUCUAUAUCUGUUUUUAUGAUGGUGAAUACUGACAUUUUGUUUCCAUUUUAAAACUCCUUGGAGCAUUUCCUAUAGGACUGGUCUAGUGGUGUUGAAUUCCCUUAGUAUUUGCUUAGCUGGGUAUUCUUUCUUAAUGAAGCUUAUUCUUGCUGGAUAUAAAAUUGGGGAUUGACAGGUGUCGUGUUUUGUUUUGUUUGUUUUUGUUUUUCCUUUUAGCUUUGAAAAUUCUAUACCAUUCUUUUCUGUCCUGUAAGAUUUCUGCUGAAAAAUCUGCUGUUACUCUGAUGGGAUUUCCUUUAUAGGUGACUAGAUGCUUUUCUCUUGCUAAUUUUAACUUUUCUUUUGCAGUUUCACUUUGACUGUAGACAUUCUGAUUACAACACAUCAUGAUGAGGUAUUUUUUGAAAUGUAUUUUCCUGGGAUUGCUGAGCCUUUCAUAUCUGGAUGCCUGUCUCACUAGACUUAAGAUGUUUUCAUCAAUUAUUUCCUUAAACAGGCUUUCUAAACUUUUUUCUCUCUCUUACCCCUCAGGCGUAACUGAUAAUUUGUAAGUUCAGUCACCAAACAUCUUGAAGGCUUUAUUCAUUUUUUUAAAAUAUAUAUACUUCAGGUUUUUUGGUACAUGUGCAGAAUGUGCAGGUUUGUUAGAUAGGUAUACACGUGCCAUGGUGGUUUGCUGCAUCCAUCAGCCCGUCAUUUACAUUAGGUAUUUCUCCUAAUACUGUCCCUCCCCUUGCCCCCCACCCUCCAACAGGCCCCGGUGUGUGAUGUUCCCCUCCCUGUUUCUAUGUGUUCUCAUUGCUCAGCUCCAUUUUAUGAGUGAGAACAUGCACCGUUUUGUUUUCUGUUCCUAUGUUAGUUUGCUGAGAAUGAUGGUUUCCAGCUCUCUUUUGGUUUCAUAUGAAGUUUAAGGUAGUUUUUUCCAAUUCUGUGAAGAAAGUCAGUGGUGAUUUGAUGGGGAUAGCAUUGAAUCUAUAAAUUACUUUGGGCAGUAUGGCCAUUUUCACAGUAUUGAUUCUUCCUGGUUUUUUUGGAAAAACUUCCAUGGAUGUUUUCCAUCUGUUUGUGUCCUCUUUUAUUUCCUUGAGGAGUGGAUUGUAGUUGUCCUUGAAAAGGCCCUGCACAUCCCUUGUUAGUUGUAUUCCUAGGUAUUUUAUUUUCUUUGUAGCAGUUGUUUAUGGGUCAAAUGGUAUUUCUAUUUCUAGAUCCUUGAGGAAUCGCCACAGUUUUCCACAAUGGUUGGGCUGAUUUACACUCCCGUCAACAGUGUAGAAGUGUUCCUAUUUCUCCACAUCCUCUUCAGCAUGUUGUCUCCAGAUUUUUUAAAUGAUCACCACUCUAACUGGCAUAGAGGGUAUCUCAAUGUGGUUUUGAUUUGCAUUUCUCUAAUGACCAGUGAUGAGCAUAUUUUCAUGUUUCUUGGCCAUAUAAAUGUAUUAUUUUGAAAAUUUUCUGGUCAUAUCUUUCACCCACUUUUUGAUUUGUUUUUUUUCUUGUAAAUUUGUUUAAAUUUUUUAUAGAUUCUGGAUAUUAGCCCUUUGUCAGAUAGGUAGCUUGCAAAAAUAUUUUCCCAUUAUGUUGGUUGCCAGUUCACUCUAAUGAUUGUUUCUUUUGGUGUGCAGAAGCUCUUAGCUCUUAAGUUUAAUUAGAUCCCAUCUAUUUUGACUUUUGUUGCUAUUGCUUUUGAUGUUUUAGUCAUGAAGUCCUUCUCUAUGUGUAUGUCCUGAAUGAUAUUGCCUAGGUUUUCUUCUAGGGUUUCUAUGGUGUUAGGUCUUAUGUUUAAUCCAUCAGGAGUUAAUUUUUGUGUAAGGUGUAAGGAAGGGAUUCAGUUUUAGUUUCUGCACAUGGCUAGCCAGUUUUCCCAACACCAUUUAUUAAAUAAGAACUCCUUUCCCCAUUACUUUUGUCAGGUUUGUCGAAGAUCAGAUAGGUUGUAGACGUGUGGCGUUAUUUCCGAGGUCUCUGUUCUGUUCCAUUGGUCUGUAUAUCUGUUUUGGUUCCAGUACCAUGCUGUUUUGAUUACUGUAGCUUUGUAGUAUAGUUUGAAGUCAGGUAGUGUGAUGCCUCCAGCUUUGUUCUUUUUGCUUAGGAUUGCCUUGGCUGUGUGGGCUCUUUUUUUUUUUUUUUUUUUUUUUGAGACGGAGUUUCGCUCUUGGUACCCAGGCUGGAGUGCAAUGGCGCAAUCUCGGCUCACUGCAAACUCCACCUCCUGGGUUCAGGCAAUUCUCCUGCCUCAGCCUCCUGAGUAGCUGGGAUUACAGGCACGCGCCACCAUGCUCUUUUUUUUUUCCAUACGAAGUUUAAGGUGUUUUUUUCCAGUUCUGUGAAUAAGGUCAAUGGUAGCUUGAUGUGGAUAACACUGAAUCUAUAAAUUACUUUGGGCAGUAUGGCCAUUUUCAUGAUAUUGAUUCUUCGUAACCAGGAGCAUGGAAUGUUUCUCCAUCUGUUUGCGUUCUCUCUUAUUUCCUUGAGCAGUGGUUUGUUGUUCUCCUGGAAGAGGUCCCUUCACAUCCCCUGUUAGUUGUAUUCCUAGGUAUUUUAUUCUCUUUGUAGUAAUUUUAAUUUGGAGUUCACUCAUGAUUUGGCUCUCUGCUACUGGUAUAUAGGAAUGCUUCUGAUUUUUGCACAUUGAUUUUGUAUCCUAAGACUUUGCUGAAAUUGCUUAUCAUUUUAAGGAGAUUGUGGGCUGAGAUGAUUGGGUCUCGUAAAUUCCCAUCAUGUCAUCUGCAAAUAGAGACAGUUUGACUUUCUCUUUCCUAACUGCAUGCCCUUUAUUUCUUUUUCUUGCCUGAUGGCUCUGGCUUGAACUUCCCAUACUAUGUUGAAUAGGAAUGGUGAGAGAGGGCACCCUUGUCUAGUGCCAGUUUUCAAAGGGAAUGCUUCUGAUUUUGCCCAUUCGGUAUCAUAUUGGCUGUGGGUUUGUUACAGUUUUUAUUAUUUUGAGAUACAUUCCAUCGAUAGUUAUCUUGAGAGUUUUUAGCAUAAAGGACUGUUGAAUUUUGUCAAAGCCUUCUCUGCAUCUGUUGAGAUAAAUGUGUUUUUUGUCUUUGGUUCUCUUUAUGUGGUGGAUUACGUUUAUAGAUUUGAAUAUGUUGAACCAGGCUUGCAUCCCAAGGAUGAAGCCUACUUGAUAAUGAUAGAUAAGCUUUUUGAUAUGUCAUUGUAUUUGGUUUCCCAGUAUUUUAUCAAAUCGUGGAUAUUGGCCUGAAGUUUUCUUUUUUAGUUGUUUUUCUGCCAGGUUUUGGUAUCAGGAUGAUGAUGGUCUCAUAAAAUGAGUUAGGGAGGAUUCCCUCUUUUUGUAUUGUUUGGAAUAGUUUCAGAAAGCAUGGUACCAGCUCCUAUUUGUACAUCUGGUAGAAUUCAGCUGUGAACCUGUCUGGACCUGGAAUUUUUUUGGUUUGUAGGCUAUUAAUUGCUGCCUGUACUUCAGACCUUGUUAUUGGUCUAUUCAAGGAUUCAGCUUCUUUCUAGUUUAGUCUUGGGAGGGUGUAAGUGUCCAGGAAUUUAUCCAUUUCUUCUAGACUUACUGGUUUAUGUGCGUAGAGUUGUUUAUAGUAGUCUCUGAUGGUAGUUUAUAUUUCUGUGGAAUUGGUGGUGAUAUCCCCUUUAUCAUUUUUUAUUGCAUCUAUUCAAUUCUUAUCUCUUUUCUUUUUAUUAUUCUGGCUAACAGUCUAUUUUGUUGAUCUUUUCAAAAAACCAGCUCCUGGACUUGUUGAUUUUUUUUUUUGAAGGUUUUUUUGUGUCUCUGUCUCCUUCAGUUCUGCUCUGAUCUUAGUUAUUUCUUGUCUUCUGCUAGCCUUUGAAUUUGUUUGAUCUUGCUCCUCUGGUUUUUCAGUUGUGACAAUAGGGUGUCAAUUUUAGAUCUUUCCUCACUUCUCAUGUGGGCAUUUAGUGCUAUAAAUUUCCCUUUAGACACUGCUUUAAAUGUGUCCCAGAGAUUCUGGUACGUUGUGUCUUCAUUCUCAGAUGUUUCAAAGAACAUCUUUAUUUCUGCCUUCGUUUUGUUCUGUAUCCAGUAGUCAUUCAGGAGCAGGUUUUUCAGUUUCCAUGUAGUUGUGUGGUUUUGAGUGAGUUUCUUAAUCUUGACUUCUAAUUUGAUAGCACUGUGGUCUGAAAGAUUGUUUGUUAUGAUUUCCAUUCUUUUACAUUUGCUGAGGAGUGAUUUACUUCCAAUUAUCUGGUCAAUUUUAGAGUAAGUGUGAUGUGGUGCUGAGAAGACUAUAUUUUGUGGAUUUGGGGUGGAGAGUUCUGUAGAUGUCUGUUAGGUCUGCUUCGUCCAGAGUGCAAGUGCUGGAUAUCCUUGUUAAUUUUCUGUCUCGUUGAUCUGUCUGAUAUUGACAGUGGGGUGUUAAAGUCUCCCACUAUUAUUGUGUGGGAGUCUAAGUCUCUUUGUAUGUGGUUAAGAACUUACUUUACGUAUCUGGGUGCUCCUGUAUUAGGUGCAUAUAUAUUUAGGAUAGUUAGCUCUUCUUGUUGCAUUGGUCCCUUUACCAUUAUGUAAUGCCCUUCUUUGUCUCUUUGAUCUUUGUUGGUUUAAAGUUCAUUUUAUGAGAGACUAGGAUUACAACGCAGCUUUUUUUUUUUUUUUUUUUUUUGCUCUCCUUUUGCUUGGUAAAUCUUCCUCCAUCCCUUUAUUUUAAGCCUAUGUGUGUCUUUGCAUGUGAGAUUGGUCCCCUGAAAACAGCUACAUCGAUGGGUCUUGACUUUGUAACCAAUUUGCCAGUCUGUAUCUUUUGAUUGGGGCAUUUAGCCCAUUUACACUUAAGGUUAACAUUGUUAUGUGUGAAUUUGAUCCUGUAUUUUGAUGCUAGCUGGUUGUCUUGCCUGUUAGUUGCAGUUUCUUCACUGCGUUGAUGCUCUUUACCAUUUGGUAUGUUUUUGGAGUGGCUGGUACUGGUUGUUCUUUCCAUGUUUAGAGCUUCCUUCAGGAGCUCUUGUAAGGCAGCCCUGGUAGUAAUGAUACCUCUCAGCAAUUGCUUGUCCAUAAAGGAUUUUAUUUCCUUUUCACUUAUGAAGUUUAAUUUGGCUGGAUAUGAAAUUCUGAGUUGAAAGUUCUUUUCUUUAAGCAUGUUGAAUAUUGGCCCCCACUCUCUUCUGGCUUGUGGGGUUUCUGCUGAGAGAUCUGCUGUGAGUCUGAUGGGCUUCCCUUGGUGGGUAACCUGACCUUUCUCUCUGGCUGCCCUUAGCAUUUUUUCCUUCAUUUCAACCCUGGUGAAUCUGAUGAUUAUAUACCUUGGGGUUGCUCUUCUUGAGGAAUAUCUUUGUGGUGUCCUCUGUAUUUCUUGAAUUUGAAUGUUGACUGGCCUUGCUAGAUUGGGGAAGUUCUUCUGGGUAUAUAUUUUGAAGAGUGUUUUCCAGCUUGGAUUCAUUCUCCCUGUCACAUUCAGGUACAAACAGAGAUUAGGUCUUUUCACAUAAUCCUGUAUUUCUUGGAGGCUUUGUUCAUUUCUUUUCACUCUUUUUUCUCUAAUCUUGCCUCAUUUUAUUUCACUGAGUUGAUCUUCAGUCUCUGAUACCCUUUUUUCUGCUCGAUUGAUUUGGCUAUUGAAACUUGUGUAUGCUUCGCAAAGUUCUCAUGCUAUGUUUUUCAGCUCUAUCAGGUCGUUUAUGUUCUUCUCUAAGCUGGUUAUUCUAGAUAGCAUUUAAUCUAAGCUUUUCUCAAGGUUCUUGGUUUCUUUGCAUUGGGUUAGAACAUGUACCUUUAGAUCAAAGAAGUUUGUCAUUACCCACCUUCUGAAGCCUGCUUCUGUCAGUUUGUCAGACUCAUUCUCCAGUUUUGUUCCCUUGCUGGUGAGGAGUUGUAACCCCUUGGAGAAGUAAAGACAUUCUGGUUUUUGGUAUUUCAUCAUUUUUGUGCUUGUUUCUUCCAUCUUCAUGAAUUUAUCUACCUUUGGUCUUUGAAGUUGGUGACUUUUGGAUGGGGUCCUUCAGUGGACUUCCUUUUUGUUGAUGCUGAAGCUGUUUGUUUUUUACUUUUCCUUCUGACAGGCCCCUCUGCUGCAGGACUGCUAGAGGUCCACUUCAGACCCUGCCUGCCUGGGAAUCACCUGCAGGGGCUGCAGAACUGCGAGGUUUACUGCCUGUUCUUUCCUCUGGUAUCUUCGUCCCAGAAGUGUACCCAUCAGAUGUCAGCCAGACCUCUCCUGUAUCAGAGAUGCCCUGCCAGCAAGGAGGAAGUCUAGUCACAGUCUGCCUGCAGAGGUGCUGCUGAGCUGCCACAGGCUCCGUCCAGCUGCUGUGUAAACUUCCUCCAGAUUUUGUUUACACAGGGAAAGAACUUCUUCUGCCUUACUGUGAAGCAUUUCUCGGGCACGCUUAACUUCAAGUUUUAAAAGAUUGUCCUCUAUCAUUAAAUCCUAACAGCGUAACAAAAUGGUCAAAUAUUGAAAUUAUUUUUUAUCACAAAACCACAAUAUUUUUCUUUUUACUAUUACAUAAGUCAAACUUGAAAAUAUAACUUUUUCUAACUUAACCAUUGACCAAGAUAUUAACUAGGGCUGAAUUUAAAUUGUUCAGAGUCAUAGGUUUUUUUUCUUUUAAGAAAAGGGUUUAUGGUUAUUUCAAAUCUUUUUUAUAAUUCAAUGUUAAAGUCAAGCUUUGCUAUUAUAAAAAACAAAAGGAAGAAGUUAUUCCUGAAAUUAAACUUAUACUAUCUAGAAAACAUGAAGUCCUUAUGAAUGGCCAUUUUUAUACUCUGAAGCUCACAAAA